AUGGAUCUUUCUUCUUCUGGACAAGUGAAGAGAGACCACAGAUAUGAGUGUGUGAGUGUGAGUGUGAAAUGUUCUACUACUAUCAAUCUAUAUUACUACUAUAUUAUAUGUCAAGUUGGGGUUUGGGGACAAGUGGUUUUUGGUUUCUGGUUUGGGAAAAAAACCAGAGAUGAUAUUUUUGAUAAUGUUGUGUUGUCGACAUGUGAUUGGUUGGUUUGUGAACAAGUUGGUGUCCUUAGUUAUUAA